GAUGAACGCUAGCGGCAGGCCUAAUACAUGCAAGUCGAACGAUACCAAGGGGCUUGCUCCUUGGAAAAGUGGCGCACGGGUGCGUAACGCGUAUGCAACCUACCUUUAUCAGGGGGAUAGCCCGGAGAAAUCCGGAUUAAUACCGCAUAAAAUCACAGGAUGGCAUUAUCCAAUGAUCAAACAUUUAUGGGAUAAAGAUGGGCAUGCGUGUCAUUAGCUAGUUGGCGGGGUAACGGCCCACCAAGGCGACGAUGACUAGGGGAUCUGAGAGGAUGGCCCCCCACACUGGUACUGGGACAAGGGCCAUACUCCAACAGGAGGCAGCAGUAAGGAAUAUUGGUCAAUGGGCGGAAGCCUGAACAAGCCAGGCAGCAUGCAGGAAGACUGCCCUAUGGGUUGUAAACUGCUUUUAUCCGGGAAUAAACCUACUUACGUGUAAGUAGCUGAAUGUACCGGAAGAAUAAGGAUCGGCUAACUCCGUGCCAGCAGCCGCCGUAA
rnacentral:rRNA from 1 species